rnacentral:rRNA from 1 species
UAAGGUUAAGUUAAUAAGGGCGCACGGUGGAUGCCUUGGCACUAGGAGCCGACGAAGGACGUGACAAACGACGAUAUGCCUUGGGUAGCUGUAAGUAAGCGAUGAUCCAGGGAUUUCCGAAUGGGGGAACCCAACAGGUAAUACCUGUUACCCACAUCUGUUAAGGAUGUGAGGAGGAAGACGCAGUGAACUGAAACAUCUAAGUAGCUGCAGGAAGAGAAAGCAAAAGCGAUUGCCUUAGUAGCGGCGAGCGAAACGGCAGAAGGGCAAACCGAAGAGUUUACUCUUCGGGGUUGUAGGACUGCAAUGUGGACUCAAAGAUUAUAGAAGAAUGAUUUGGGAAGAUCAGCCAAAGAGAGUAAUAGCCUCGUAUUUAAAAUAGUCUUUGUACCUAGCAGUAUCCUGAGUACGGCGGGACACGUGAAAUCCCGUCGGAAUCUGGGAGGACCAUCUCCCAACCCUAAAUACUCCCUAGUGACCGAUAGUGAACCAGUACCGUGAGGGAAAGGUGAAAAGCACCCCGGGAGGGGAGUGAAAUAGAACCUGAAACCGUGUGCCUACAACAAGUUCGAGCCCGUUAAUGGGUGAGAGCGUGCCUUUUGUAGAAUGAACCGGCGAGUUACGUUAUGAUGCGAGGUUAAGUUGAAGAGACGGAGCCGUAGGGAAACCGAGUCUGAAUAGGGCGCCUUAGUAUCAUGACGUAGACCCGAAACCAUGUGACCUACCCAUGAGCAGGUUGAAGGUGCGGUAAGACGCACUGGAGGACCGAACCAGGGCACGUUGAAAAGUGCUUGGAUGACUUGUGGGUAGCGGAGAAAUUCCAAACGAACUUGGAGAUAGCUGGUUCUCUCCGAAAUAGCUUUAGGGCUAGCGUCGACAUUAGAGAUUCUUGGAGGUAGAGCACUGUUUGGGUGAGGGGUCCAUCCCGGAUUACCAAUCUCAGAUAAACUCCGAAUGCCAAUGAAUUAUGGUCGGCAGUCAGACUGCGAGUGCUAAGAUCCGUAGUCGAAAGGGAAACAGCCCAGACCACCAGCUAAGGUCCCAAAAUAAUUGUUAAGUGGAAAAGGAUGUGGGGUUGCACAGACAACUAGGAUGUUAGCUUAGAAGCAGCUAUUCAUUCAAAGAGUGCGUAAUAGCUCACUAGUCGAGUGACCCUGCGCCGAAAAUGUACCGGGGCUAAAACAAUUUACCGAAGCUGUGGAUACCUUUAUAGGUAUGGUAGGAGAGCGUUCUAUGUGUGAUGAAGGUAUACCGUGAGGAGUGCUGGAACGCAUAGAAGUGAGAAUGCCGGUAUGAGUAGCGAAAGACAGGUGAGAAUCCUGUCCACCGUAAGACUAAGGUUUCCAGGGGAAGGCUCGUCCGCCCUGGGUUAGUCGGGACCUAAGGAGAGACCGAAAGGUGUAUCCGAUGGACAACAGGUUGAUAUUCCUGUACUAGAGUAUGUAGUGAUGGAGGGACGCAGUAGGCUAACUAAAGCAGACGAUUGGAAGAGUCUGUCUAAGCAGUGAGGUGUGAAUUGAGUCAAAUGCUUAAUUCUAUAACAUUGAGCUGUGAUGGGGAGCGAAGUUUAGUAGCGAAGUUAGUGACGUCACACUGCCAAGAAAAGCUUCUAGCGUUUAAACAUACUCUACCCGUACCGCAAACCGACACAGGUAGUCGAGGCGAGUAGCCUCAGGUGAGCGAGAGAACUCUCGUUAAGGAACUCGGCAAAAUGACCCCGUAACUUCGGGAGAAGGGGUGCUGACUUUAAGUCAGCCGCAGUGAAUAGGCCCAAGCAACUGUUUAUCAAAAACACAGCUCUCUGCUAAAUCGUAAGAUGAUGUAUAGGGGGUGACGCCUGCCCGGUGCUGGAAGGUUAAGAGGAGUGCUUAGCGUAAGCGAAGGUAUGAAUUGAAGCCCCAGUAAACGGCGGCCGUAACUAUAACGGUCCUAAGGUAGCGAAAUUCCUUGUCGGGUAAGUUCCGACCCGCACGAAAGGCGUAAUGAUUUGGGCACUGUCUCAACGAGAGACUCGGUGAAAUUUUAGUACCUGUG